rnacentral:rRNA from 1 species
GCGGCAAACGGGGUGAGUAACGCGUGGGAAUCUACCCCGUCUCUACGGAAUAACACAGAGAAAUUUGUGCUAAUACCGUAUACGUCCCUUUUGGGAGAAAGGAUUUAUCGGAGAUGGAUGAGCCCGCGUUGGAUUAGCUAGUUGGUGAGGUAACGGGCCCACCAAGGCGACGAUCCAUAGCUGGUCUGAGAGGAUGAUCAGCCACACUGGGACUGAGACACGGCCCAG